rnacentral:rRNA from 1 species
UACAGAGGGUGCAAGCGUUGUUCGGAAUUAUUGGGCGUAAAGGGCGCGUAGGCGGUGCGGUAAGUCUGUAGUGAAAUCUCUGGGCUCAACUCAGAGUCUGCUGCAGAAACUGCCGUGCUUGAGUGUGGGAGAGGUGAGUGGAAUUCCCGGUGUAGCGGUGAAAUGCGUAGAUAUCAGGAGGAACACCUGUGGCGAAAGCGGCUCACUGGACCAUAACUGACGCUGAGACGCGAAAGCGUGGGGAGCAAACAGG